rnacentral:rRNA from 1 species
AGUGAAAGCUGGCGGUAGGCCUAACACAUGCAAGUCGAACGGCAGCACAGUAAGAGCUUGCUCUUACGGGUGGCGAGUGGCGGACGGGUGAGGAAUACAUCGGAAUCUACUUUUUCGUGGGGGAUAACGUAGGGAAACUUACGCUAAUACCGCAUACGACCUAGGGGUGAAAGCAGGGGAUCUUCGGACCUUGCGCGAUUGAAUAAGCCGAUGUCGGAUUAGCUAGUUGGCGGGGUAAAGGCCCACCAAGGCGACGAUCCGUAGCUGGUCUGAGAGGAUGAUCAGCCACACUGGAACUGAGACACGGUCCAGACUCCUACGGGAGGCAGCAGUGGGGAAUAUUGGACAAUGGGCGCAAGCCUGAUCCAGCCAUACCGCGUGGGUGAAGAAGGCCUUCGGGUUGUAAAGCCCUUUUGUUGGGAAAGAAAAGCAGCAGGUUAAUACCCCGCUGUUCUGACGGUACCCAAAGAAUAAGCACCGGCUAACUUCGUG